rnacentral:rRNA from 1 species
UGGCGGACGGGUGAGUAAUGUCUGGGAAACUGCCUGAUGGAGGGGGAUAACUACUGGAAACGGUAGCUAAUACCGCAUAACGUCGCAAGACCAAAGAGGGGGACCUUAGGGCCUCUUGCCAUCGGAUGUGCCCAGAUGGGAUUAGCUAGUAGGUGGGGGAAGGGCUCACCUAGGCGACGAUCCCUAGCUGGUCUGAGAGGAUGACCAGCCACACUGGAACUGAGACACGGUCCAG